GCUUGUUUAACGCACUUCUUCCUUUGGGUGCCGUCCUGGCACACAGUUUGACCAAGAUAAACGCAAAUAAACUUGUCCAGCGCUUCGUGUAGCUUACUCUUGAGUGAAGCUUUUGCGUUUGUCAUGUAUAUCAGUGCAAUGGGCGGCGCUAAUCUCGUAUGGCAGGUAGAUUUCGCCCACUCGUUCCCGUAAUAUUUUUGCUAGGCGUGCUUGCGCGACAAUUUGUUUCUCAAUAUAACAUUCGCAGCAAAUUCAUGCGUAAGCUUUUUUUAGUGCAGAAUACACAAGUACCUGUGAUAAAAUGGUUUUCGCAUACCCUGGCCUCAAAGUUCGCACUCAAAAACUACCUGUCGCUGUGGCUCUCUUCACAGUCGCGGCCCACCUCGUUUUUGUUUUCAUUACAUGAGAAUUGAUACCUGCGUUCGCCUUGCACGCUCGAGUUGGAGCAGCCAACGGCUGAACAACCGACCAUGGUUUAUCAGGACGAAGAUAAACGGGCAACCUAAAGCGCGAAUCCCAGAUAAUCUGAGGCUUGCGGUGAAGCGGUUUGCCGUUGUCUACUCUUCUCGAACCGGAAGCCGAUAGCAGGCGGUGUGUCCCACAAUCCCUCGAUCUUUUACUGGUCAUCUAUUUCUGUAGCACUCCAGCGUGCUUGUAUUUUGGCAGUCUCUGUUGGUGUCCGUCAUUUUGUUCUGUCAUCUAUUACUGUUUCUUUUUGCUACUGUGUAUUGUUGGCAAAUUGGCCUCGUGCUCGCUCCAACAGAGGCGUGUGUAGUCGACUGCCCAACAACAGACGUGUGGUUUUACGUGCUAAUACAUUUGUAAAAAUGAAAAUGUGGUUGUCUUAUCAAAAAAAAAAAAAGAGACAAAACUGGGGAAGUAAAUGUUACAUAGAAAUAUAGCUUGAUUUUAUCUAAGUGAUUUCGUGUGCACUCUAGUACCACCUAUAUACAGUCGACGACCGAUAAUCCGGACUCCACGGAGAACGUAAAUAAGUCCGAGUUAUUGAAUGUCCGAAAAACGAAUGCAUCAGAAAAAAGUACUUUUAUUGACACUUUAGUGACCUCGAGGCCGGGAAAAGUUGUCAGUGCAUUGCUGCACGUAUUCCACUUACUUGCAACCAAGUGCGUUUGUAUUUCUGCCAGUGGUGUAUGCUUACUGUAGGACUACAGGUGGGAUGCCGAAACAAUUACGAGCGCUCGAGACAAGUACGCAUGCAACAGCUCCAGAGCACACAGUGUGUCGUCAUCAUCAGAGUCAGAAUCGCUGUUUGGAAUUUGCAGAACCUGCUCAAUUAUGUUAUCGUCGUUCAAUUUGGCACACGAUUACACAUCGCUGUCCACAUUUGGGAAGUCUUCAAACGUAACUGCGUCAAGAAUCGGCACACUGCAGGCUCGCAGGUCAUCAGUAACAUCCGCACUUGAGCUUGUUGUGCUGGGCGGGUCCGGGUCUUCAGUUGCAGUGUCGGGUUCUUGAACUCUCGGGCAACUUUGGCUUGUGGCCGACCACUAACCACUGGCAGCUUUUCCACUAACCAAUGGCAGCUUUUCUUGCCGUGGUUAGCAAUGUUUAUGUCUGCUGCGUUUCAGUGUCAUCGGUGCGGCCUUUGACGCUGGCUGUGGGGGCGCCGUUGGUGCCAUUUGACGCAGAUAUUUUGGGACAGCAGAGUGCAAAAUAAAGCCGGUGUCAACCCAAAACAGAAUGUGCACAAAACUUAGGAGAAUGCAGUACCGCAGACACAAACGACAGAUGGGCGCCAAUAGGGUUACUGUAUAUGCUACCUUUAGGUACUCAAUCAAAUACGUUAUAUGUCAUCGCCGCAAUAAAUGAAGUUUAAAAAACACUGAUUAGAACAGCGUAGGGGGGUCAUUGUUGUGAUAAGAACCAACUAAUUUGCUGCGGUUUAUGCGUUGAGGGAGCCGCCGCCACCUGUUUCCCCAUCCUUCCUGUCCCCGCCCCAUUGCGCCACAGUGGCUGUAACUGCAACUAGGGCUGACACGCGCUUUCCAUAGAAAGCCGCUCGACGCGGCAGGCCGUACCAUGUGCUUUUUUUAUCCAGCCGCUGUGACCCAAGUGACCAUUACAAUAAAAAAAAAGAGAUGUCUGUAAUGUCAUAGUUUAGACACACUGCAGAGAGGGCAGCUGCCUUGCAGAAGAAAAUGGAGGCCGAGAAGGGCUUUCAAUUAGCAUGCCGGAAUCUGUCUUUCCAAUAGAUGCCUGAUGAUCACCACUAAGGACCCGUCUAAAAUGCAAAGCAAAACAGAGCUCACCAUGUGAAGGGACAGAGGACCCGCUGAAAGUUCAAAGCCUCACUAAUAUGUCAGUAAUGUAUCUUUUUUCUACUAAUGUAUGUAUGUUACAAUAAAAUAAACGUUGCGAAGUUUUA
rnacentral:lncRNA from 1 species